rnacentral:rRNA from 1 species
GGGGAAUAUUGGACAAUGGGGGGAACCCUGAUCCAGCCAUGCCGCGUGUGUGAAGAAGGCCUUUUGGUUGUAAAGCACUUUAAGCGAGGAGGAGGCUACUUGGAUUAAUACUCUAGGAUAGUGGACGUUACUCGCAGAAUAAGCACCGGCUAACUCUGUGCCAGCAGCCGCGGUAAUACAGAGGGUGCGAGCGUUAAUCGGAUUUACUGGGCGUAAAGCGUGCGUAGGCGGCUUUUUAAGUCGGAUGUGAAAUCCCUGAGCUUAACUUAGGAAUUGCAUUCGAUACUGGGAAGCUAGAGUAUGGGAGAGGAUGGUAGAAUUCCAGGUGUAGCGGUGAAAUGCGUAGAGAUCUGGAGGAAUACCGAUGGCGAAGGCAGCCAUCUGGCCUAAUACUGACGCUGAGGUACGAAAGCAUGGGGAGCAAAC